UACUGUAAAUCUUUUGGGUGUUUUUACAAUUGCCACCAGAUGGCAUUAUGAUAACAGGAAACAUCUUUACAUUUGCUUUUUAGGUUUGAUCAUCUACAUUGGAAACAUAUGAUCAUACAAAGCUAACACAUACUGUAGUCACAAUGACAUAUGCAAGAAGGGUGACCUAAUAUAAAAGUAUACUAUAAUAGUUUGUUCCAUACCGUAAAACACUAUAUAGCACACUAAAAUAUCUGUAUUUCUUAAAUAAAGAACAGUCAUUGUGCCACACAACUGCACCCCACCCCUUCCUGCCUCCACAACCCAAAGUUUUACAACAUUGCUUUUUGUCACUUCCUCAAAGGAUCUUCCCCAAACUGGUGAUAGAAAAAAAUACCACGAUGUAUGGGAUGUCAAAACAAUGAAGUGUUUUCCUCAAGGAUUUUCCUUAAUUAUUUAAAUACUGACAAGACUAAUUAUAAGAGUGAGCAGUUGAGCCAUUGGUAGGUAUAAAGCUCAUAUUCUUUUUAAGAAGGAAGCUUUGAUUCUGAAGCAUCGUUAGUUAUACAGAGGAUUCUAAAGUUAGCUUAGGAAGCAUUGGACCUCUCAGUUUCACAAGCGUUUAUUUUGUGUCUCUCUUCUGGGUGUGGCUGUAACACAGAAAUUUCACAGCACCAAGCACACACAUUUAUACAACAUAUUCAUUCCUAGGCGCAAUAUAAAGUAGCCAAUCAACCAAUAGAUAUAUUUUGCGAAGUGGAUGGAUGGAGACCCACAAGGAAAGGAAAAGAACAUAGGAAUCUCCACACAGACAGUAACAGUUUCAUACACAGACACACAAAUAUAUACAUGUAUUCUGUCGUUCUAUAUGACAGACUUUGAUAACAUGGCUUUCUCUCUAUAUACAUGUAUUCUGUCGUUCUAUAUGACAGACUUUGAUAACAUGGUAUUACUAAUGACACCUUUUGUGAAACAAAUAUUAAGGUGUUGUGAAAGUCGUCAUGAGUCAUCUCCUGAGUCAUCUCCUUUGUCAUUAACAAUGAUAAAGUGACAACCUAUUUCCUGUGCUAAGUACUGUUUGUUAUUCCUGUCUAUGAAAAAAGAAGAAACAUUGGAGUAGACAUGACCUGUUCCAGAGACAGGAGCAGCAUCCUCUGUGCUGAAUAAUUGAGAGAAAGUCCUGGAUAAUCCAUCAGAGCAAAGGACGAGAGAGGGCAAGUGGAAGUGAGAAGGAGAGAAGGGAAGUAAGAGAUAUCAGAGAAACAAGAGAACCUGAAAAUGACAAUGGAAUGUAUCAUGAAUAUGACAACAGUCCAUCACAGAACAAUCUCACAAUCACACCAAGAGGCAAUUUACAGUUACUGAUGUUAUGACGACAGCACUACACCAGCUCUGUGCCCUUGUAAUGGUUUCCGGUGCCUGCCACCUCACCUUCCUCUCUACACAGCUGUCUUCCCUGGACCUCAGGCUCUAUCAUAGCCUACUUCAUAAAUCAAAGCACCUGGUCUUAUGACACACUGGACCGAGGCAAUUAAAAAAAGGAACUUUCUUAUCCAGUGAAGAAAACGGAGACAGCUUGCCGGAUGAAAUAAAGCACUGAGAAUAAAAGACAUGCUGUGUGGGAUAUUUAGAACACUUUGGACUCCCUCAGGAGGCAAUGGAGACUGUAAUUAAAAAUGAGGAAUGAAUUGGAAAGCAUUUGUCACUCUAAUUGUGGGGCUUUUCAUCUACGGCUGGAACGAGAGUUGGCAAAGCAUGGUAUCACUUCUGCGGUGCUCUGAUGGUUUGCCCACCAUUUGACGAGACAUCAGUGAUUCGUUUGAGACAUGCAUCUGGUAUGUGCAAGCAUUUUGGAAAAAUUGACAAGAUCUCACUAAACACACAUUUAUAUUAGUCACAAAAAAUAACUUUAUAAAACGUAAUUUAUUGUGUCUAAUAGAAUGACUCAUCUUAAUUGCCUUAAUGUUUGCGUUUGCUUUCUUCAAAUGCUUGAUUCAGUGGGAAUUGAUUGAUUUAAUGACAAAAGUUUCAUUCAAUUUAUUAAAUGUAUGUAUUAGAAAUAAAUUAAUGGUUUAAAGAUAUUUAUUUUAUUUAAGCACAAACCUAGAUAUAUAUUUGCAUUAAUUCAUGAUAAUUCUACAAUCUAAAGUCUAUCAGUUGUAGUUCAUAUUAGAUAGACAUUGUAUACACAAAUAUACACAAAGAUUCAGGAGCUUCUGUAAGAUAUGAAUGUUAAUGAAUGGAUCGAUGGAUUCUCUUAAAUACUGCAUUAAUGUUUAAAUGUACCUGCAAAUGUUUUAAGAAAAAGUUCAUUCAUAUCCAGUUUGAUGAAUGAGGCCAGGUCUAUUCUCUUCCCCUUACGAUUGCAUGCCAUGUUUUCAUUCCAGCCUUUUAUAUGACCACAGGAUCUUCACCUCUGUAAUUAUGUCUCUGCAGUGUGGUCCAAUGCCUAUAAUCCUGCUCCAUCCUUUUAGAGCAUCCGUUUUAGAGCUCCACCAGAGCCACAAAGCCACUGUUCCCUGAGGCCAGCUUGUUUGUUUUUCAUGCCAGUUUGUUUCAGUUGGGUUUUGUCCAGCUCACUGGUGGCACCUGCCCUGCCUGUGUCAUGUGCUAAGGAGACAGAUGGCAGGAUCAGCUGGUGUCCUACCUUAGUUCUUCUCUCAGUUGCACUUCUCAACACAAAGUGCAGGAAAGCAACCAGCUUUCACUUAAAUGAAAAGUUUCCAGUAUAAAGACAAAUUCAACUUUUUCCUUAUUCCUGUUUCAAAAUCUAUCUAUCAAAUGUUCACGAAGGGAAAAUAAACAAACCAAAGCAAAUCUGAAGCAGUACUCUUUAAUCCAGUAUGAUGUAUGAGCUGCAUAGAUAAAUCAACUAAUACAUAUGUCAAUACUGCUGAAUGUUUCUUCUAGUUAAGAAAUACAUGGAAAUACAUUUCUACAGUCAGUUGAACAUUGUUGUUGUUUUUUAAUAUAAUUUUUAUUUGUUUAAUGUAACUUUAGUAUUACUUCAAUAUCACUUUGAAGUGUAGAAAAGUACCAAUUUUCAAUUCCUCUCAUAGCUGCUUUCAUUAAAACAUAAAUAAAAUGUAAUAAUACGAUACUUGCACGGCAUAUUGAAUUCCGUUAUUGUCAUGUCACUAUCCUUUUCUACCAAACUAGUCUAGAAUGGCUGAUCAGGACCGGUUUUGAGAGGCUGCUGAGGCUGGAGAUGUCUUAGUCAGUUCAUCCAUUCAACUCAUAGCUCAUUAUCAGUCUUGAAUAACUUCCCAGAUGACAUUGUAUUCUCCAAAGGCUACUCAUUGAGCUAUAAAUAGCUGAUGGACAUGAGCUUCCAUACUGCAGAAUCAAUUUCAGCUAAGUCACCAUAUCAUCCAUGGAAAUGUAUUAUAAGCCUUAAAUAGUGUUAUAUGACACAUAGAUUUAUUAUUCUUCAUUUAUUGCACCUUAUUUAUUUUCAUCCUUAAAGUGUUUAGUUGAAGUGUAAGCUGGAAACGUCAUUUUUAGCUGUGCAUGGCUGUUAAUUGAAGUGUGGUUCUUUGCUGUUGUUUAUUAACAUUUUACCACACUAAUAAAACAGAAUAAAAAUAGAGAUGUUUUGUAUCACUUUUUACUUUAACUAUGGAAAAGAUGUCUAGUCGGCUGCUCUUUUAAAUUUCUGGUCGGCUAGUAAAAAUUAAUAGUUGUGUAAGUCCUAGUAUGGUGAGCUGUGUAUCUGAAGGUCGCAUCCAUCCUUCAAACUUCACUGAGAAAGAAAAAAGCUAAGAAACACACCUAGUGGAAGCACAACUACCACCACAUGAUCCUGUAAGACUGAAUGCCUUGAUGCUUGUAAGAACGAACGCCUAAUUCUAGAGGUUAUGGGGAAGAGUCAAAGCAGUG